AGGUGGAGCGAAUCUCCAAAAAUUAGUCCCAGUUCAGAUUGCAGGCUGCAACUCGCCUGCAUGAAGUCGGAAUUGCUAGUAAUCGUGGAUCAGCAUGCCACGGUGAAUACGUUCCCGGGCCUUGUACACACCGCCCGUCACACCAUGGGAGUCGGUAACACCCGAAGCCUGUAGUCUAACCGCAAGGAGGACGCAGUCGAAGGUGGGAUUGAUGACUGGGGUGAAGUCGUAACAAGGUAUC
rnacentral:rRNA from 1 species